AUGAAUACAAGAAUGGUAAUAAGUAGGUCCCAGCUCUUGGUGUCCGAUCAGCAAACCACGAUCGCCAUGUGGAAUUUACAGCUCACCCAUCUGCACAAGAUUAUUUCUCGUCAUAUUAUUCGUGAAGAUUAUGAACAUUAUCUCGUCCGAUCUCUCCCCACCCCAGAGAGGGUCCGGAGGCGCGCAUCACACAUCGGACGACCUGUACUUGUACACGUGGAAGCUCGCCUGCGGCGCCACAGCGGCCAGGAAGACCCUGGCCGUCGCCUCCUGCGCCGCCACCGCCCCAUCCUUCUCUACCAGCGCCGCCGCCACCACAUCGCCAGCGGAGCCGCCUCCGGCGGCAAUCAUCGCAAUGAUGGCCGUCUGCACGGGACCCAGCGUCGGGUUGUACGCCGCGGACUCCAAGCAGCCCCCGGCGUACACCUUCCCUUCGCCGUCCGCCACCGCGAAGCCCGACGGGCAGCCGCUGUACGGCGCGUGCGCCGCACGCGCCGCCGCCUCCGCGGCAUCCUUCAGGCGCCCCUCCAGGUCGUCGGCGGCGAAGCCAUUGGCGACGGCGUCAACGGGAUCGCCGAGGCGGUUGUCGUGCGGCUCGAGGACGAGGGGGGCGUCCUUGGGGAGGAGGUCGUGGGGACCGAAUGGGCGGGGCAGGAGCGAUGCCAGCGUGCGCCACUCAGCCGCGCAGCCGUCAGCGGCGUCGGACGUCACCAGGAUGCGGAUCCCGGCGGCGCCGCGGAUCUCCUGGAGGAACUGCCGGCAGUGGCCGCAGGGCAUGUGGGAGACGGCGAUGGCGCGGAGCGCGGGCUCCCCGGCGGCGGCGGCGUUGGCGAUGAGGAACUGCUCGGCGUGGACCACCUGGGAGAGAGGGGCGCCCAGGAACUCGAGGUUCACGCCGGCGUAAACGCGCCCGCUCUCGCCCAGCCCGACGGCGCCCACGGGGAACCGCGAGAUCGGGGGGCGCGCGCGCCGCAUCGCCGAAGGGAUCAGCAGGGGAAGCAGGUCCUCCACCGUCUCCACCCCGGCCGCCGCGGCCGCGCGCUCCGCCUCGUCGGCGCUCAUCACAAAUCCUGGCAGCUCGACGGCCUCAGGCUUCGCCGUCAUCCUCUCCUCCCCCAUUGCUCAGAUCUAACUCGAAACUGUGUUGUCACUCUAUGA
rnacentral:rRNA from 1 species